rnacentral:rRNA from 1 species
GGUAGUCUCGCACAGAUGCAUAUCAAUAAGCGGAGGAAAAGAAACUAACAAGGAUUCCCCUAGUAACGGCGAGUGAAGCGGGAAGAGCUCAAAUUUGAAAUCUUAAAGGGUUUCCCUUUACGAAUUGUAGUUUAAAGAAGUGUUUUCUGUUGAGGUUUUGGUAAAAGUUCUUUGGAAUAGGACAUCAUAGAGGGUGAGAAUCCCGUAUUUGACCUUUACUUUCAACUUUGUGAUACACUUUCAAAGAGUCGGAUUGUUUGGGAAUGCAGUCCAAAAUGGGUGGUAAAUUUCAUCUAAAGCUAAAUAUUGGCGAGAGACCGAUAGCGAACAAGUACCGUGAGGGAAAGAUGAAAAGAACUUUGAAAAGAGAGUUAAACAGUACGUGAAAUUGUCAAAAGGGAAGCGUUUGACACCAGUGUUGUUUUUCUGAAAAUCAAUUAAAGAACUGUUUAUGCUAAGUUGUUAGACUUUAUCAGCUAACUGUUUAGUUUUGAGCUUUUCUUUAAUGCACUUUUCAGUUAACAAGUCAACAUCAAUUUCUUUUGCUGUAAAAAAGCUUGAGGAAGGUGGCUUGAGAUUCGUCUUAGUGUUUAUAGCCUCUUGCCUAUGCAGUCGGAGAGAUUGAGGUCUGCAGCGUAGAUCCUUCGGGGCUAAAUGCAUUUGUGCUAAGUUAUAGCAUUUUAUAGACAACUUGUUGACUAUGAUUUGUCUUGUAGCUUACUCGCUUAUGUUAUUUUACCUACGCUUAGGAUGUUGAUCUGUAGUGCGUGCGC